rnacentral:tRNA from 1 species
AGCCCCUUUAGUGCAAUGGUUAGCAUACAUUUUUCCGGUGGAUGUGAUCCGGGUUCGAGUCCCGGGAGGGGCUU